UCCCUGGUAGCUCAGAGGGUGAAGCGUCUGCCUGCAAUAUAGGAAAUCCAGGUUUGAUCCCUGGGUGGGGAA
rnacentral:tRNA from 1 species